GACGAACGCUGGCGGCGUGCUUAACACAUGCAAGUCGAGCGGUAAGGCCCUUUCGGGGUACACGAGCGGCGAACGGGUGAGUAACACGUGGGUGACCUGCCCUUACGCUCUGGGAGUAAGCCUGGGAAACUGGGUCUAAUACCGGAUAUGACUCCAUAACGCAUGUUGUGGGGUGGAAAGCCUUGUGCGGCUAGGGAUGGGCCCGCGGCCUAUCAGCUUGUUGGUGGGGUGAUGGCCUACCAACGGCGACGACGGGUAGCCGGCCUGAGAGGGCGACCGGCCACACUGGGACUGAGACACGGCCCAGACUCCUACGGGAGGCAGCAGUGGGGAAUC
rnacentral:rRNA from 1 species